AUUCAGCUGAUGAGUCUCAAAUAAGACGAAACACAUGUCGUGGAU
rnacentral:hammerhead_ribozyme from 1 species